rnacentral:misc_RNA from 1 species
CUCUCUCUCUCUCUCUCUCUAAUGAAUCAUCCACAAACAAGCACAUUCCCAAAUUUGCUUUCAAAACUAAUAUCAUUUCAUGUAGGUUUAAGUCUAAAUUCAAACCCCUUAAACAUAGAUGAAAAGAAGUCCUGGAGUUUGGGGCCAAUUUCAAUUAAGAUCUAAAUGGUCUAGAAUUUAAGAAUUUUUGAUUUUUUAUUUGUAAUUUCUGUAGUUUUCUUUGAUGUUUGACAAAAGUAGUUUGAGAUUAUAAUUACAUAUACAGUGAAUUUUAAUUUAAUAUAUGAAUUCAUGAAAUUGUUGAAUACCAAGCUGGACUUUAGGAAAGUUUUAGAUUUGGGGUUGAUGUUCUAGGUGUAGUUCACAUAGCAAUAGUUACUUAUAAAAAUUGAACUUAUAAACUUGUUUUGCUCAAAGGGGUUUUCUUUAUACAGCACAUUUGCAAGAUUUCAUGAAGAAAUUAAUCAAUGAGUUGAAAAAUCAAAACUCUGCCAAGAUUUGAAUUGAAAUUCUUAAGUUAUGAGAGAUCAAAAUGUAAUGUAAUGUAAUGUUAGGACGUUAAUUGAAGUUGGCCCUAUACUUUAAGCUUUCUUUUGUAAUUAUCCUCAAAAGAAUCAAGUGGUUUUGGAUAAAUUCUCGAAGUUCUGUAACAAAACUUUGAUUUGUUUCCAUUUCAUCUUCAUUUUUUUUACCAUAUUUGUGGAUGAAAUGAAUUUAACUGAUAAGCAUUUUGCUAUUGUUGCUUGACCUACAAUGCAGGAUGUUAAAGACCCAUUUGACUUGUUAUUAAUAUUAUCUUCAUUUCUAUGCUAAUUCACAAAUACUUGUGCAUUAUGAAGCCAAGAUAAAUUUUUUAAGAAGUAAAGAAAAUAAGCAAAAAAUAAAAAUGGUAGUCUCAUUAGAUUUGAUUAUUUUAUCAGUUUGCAUUUACACAAAUAGGUAAUGACCUAAAAAAUUGAGUUUUUGAAUCCUAAACAGAUAUCAGGUGCAGAUAUCCUGGAUAUAGUUUCAAUUUGUUCAUAGAUAUCUGAUGUGGCUUGCAUGGGAAAAGUCUAUAAAAAAAAUUUCUCCUGAAUUUCAAAGUACCAGCUUUGAAUGUGUUUCUA